rnacentral:rRNA from 1 species
UACAGAGGGUGCAAGCGUUGCUCGGAAUUAUUGGGCGUAAAGCGCGUGUAGGCGGCCCGUUAUGUCGGCUGUGAAAGCCCAUGGCUCAACCAUGGAAGUGCAGCCGAAACUGUCGGGCUAGAAUCCUGGAGAGGGUGGCGGAAUGCCCAGUGUAGAGGUGAAAUUCGUAUAUAUUGGGUAGAACACCGGUGGCGAAGGCGGCCACCUGGACAGCGAUUGACGCUAAGACGCGAAAGCGUGGGGAGCGAACAGG